ACGAACGCUGGCGGCAUGCCUAACACAUGCAAGUCGAACGAGACCUUCGGGUCUAGUGGCGCACGGGUGCGUAACGCGUGGGAAUCUGCCCCUUGGUUCGGAAUAACUCAGAGAAAUUUGAGCUAAUACCGGAUGAUGACGUAAGUCCAAAGAUUUAUCGCCAAGGGAUGAGCCCGCGUAGGAUUAGCUAGUUGGUGAGGUAAAGGCUCACCAAGGCGACGAUCCUUAGCUGGUCUGAGAGGAUGAUCAGCCACACUGGGACUGAGACACGGCCCAGACUCCUACGGGAGGCAGCAGUGGGGAAUAUUGGACAAUGGGCGAAAGCCUGAUCCAGCAAUGCCGCGUGAGUGAUGAAGGCCUUAGGGUUGUAAAGCUCUUUUACCCGGGAUGAUAAUGACAGUACCGGGAGAAUAAGCUCCGGCUAACUCCGU
rnacentral:rRNA from 1 species